rnacentral:rRNA from 1 species
AUACGGGAGGCAGCAGUGGGGAAUCUUGCGCAAUGGCCGAAAGGCUGACGCAGCGACGCCGCGUGUGGGAGGAAGCUCUUCGGGGUGUAAACCACUGUUGCCCGGGACGAACGAGCAGCUUUUGCUGCUGUGACGGUACCGGGUGAGGAAGCACCGGCUAACUCUGUGCCAGCAGCCGCGGUAAUACAGAGGGUGCGAGCGUUGUCCGGAAUCACUGGGCGUAAAGGGCGCGUAGGCGGCUUGAUAAGCGUGCGGUGAAAGCCCGGGGCUCAACCCCGGGUCGGCCGUGCGAACUGUCGAGCUGGAGCACUGUAGAGGCAGGUGGAAUUCCGGGUGUAGCGGUGGAAUGCGUAGAGAUCCGGAAGAACACCGGUGGCGAAGGCGGCCUGCUGGGCAGUGGCUGACGCUGAGGCGCGACAGCGUGGGGAGCAAACAGGAUUAGAUACCCCGGUAGUCCC